rnacentral:rRNA from 1 species
UACGUAGGGGGCGAGCGUUGUCCGGAUUCAUUGGGCGUAAAGGGCGCGUAGGCGGCAUGACAAGUCACUUGUGAAAUCUCCGGGCUUAACUCGGAACGGCCAAGUGAUACUGUCAAGCUAGAGUGCAGAAAGGGCAAUCGGAAUUCUUGGUGUAGCGGUGAAAUGCGUAGAUAUCAAGAGGAACACCUGAGGCGAAGGCGGGUUGCUAGGCUGACACUGACGCUGAAGCGCGAAAGCCAGGGGAGCGAACGGG